AAGGCAAGGCAAACAAGAUCGAUCUACGGAUCGCGUAGGCACCCCACAGCUCGAGAUGACAACCGUCACGCCGGCCACAAAUUCGGCAGGGCCGAACACAGUAGACAAAGCUCAUUGGAGCUACCUCAUGAUAUCACCCAGUACAAAGGCGCCGCACACCCAUUGUGCUUCACAGACGAAAUAAUGGAUCAUCAAAUCCCCGAGGGUUUCAAACCCGUAAACAUCGAAUCAUAUGAUGGCUCGACAGAUCCCGCGGUAUGGAUCGAGGAUUAUCUCCUUCAUAUCCACAUGGCCCGCGGCGAUGAUUUCCACGCCAUCAAAUACCUCCCACUCAAGCUUAAAGGACCAGCCCGGCAGUGGCUUAACAGCCUGCCAACAGGGUCAAUCAGCUAUUGGGAGGACCUGGAAGCCGCAUUCCUCGACAAUUUCCAGGGCACUUAUGUGCGA
rnacentral:rRNA from 1 species